CCGCCACCGGGGUGGGCCCGGGGCGCCCUGGCAUGCUGGGCCGGAUCUGGACAGAGCUGUCUAGGUCGCCGAUCGACACUACGGUGGUGGAC
rnacentral:tRNA from 1 species